GUGAUUCCCCAGCUUGGGGCAAAGCGGAGGGGAGGCCGGCUUCAAAGCCUCUCUCAGCCUGUGGAAAAGCGCAGUCUGGAGUGGGGUGGCUGCCAAGUCUGCUGCAUGAAUGUUCAUUUUACUUGGCUUGUGGUCAAACAACAGCAAAAAACCAGGUUAGGGGGUGACGAGGGAGUUAAACGAAAGGCUCUGGCAUCAGCACAGAAAGAACAGUGAAGUUCUCAGGUGAUGCCGAUGUUAAUGCUGCCAAUCCAGAGGCUACACUUUGGGAACCACUGCUGAUGAGGAGCUCAUGCACGGAGUAGGAGGAGCACUGGAGACACAAGGGAAAUGCUGUAGCUCCGUAGGCAGACUUUGCAGAAGAGCCCCCCUGAUAUGCACAAAUGGUGUUUUUUGGAGAGUAACAUAUGAAGUGAAAGGAGCUGGAUACCAUCAUCCCGUCAAUAUCCCCUGGGAUUUACUAAGCUGGCCUUGGAGGGAUGUGUGAGCUGCCCGCAGAAGUUUCAAAGCCACUGGAUGAAAUGAAGGGUGAAAGAUAUUUUUACAAACAGGCAUAGUUAUCCCAUCUUGCUGUAACCCUCCCUCUGUGAGUUUUUUCUCUCUGGGGAGAUGUUAACGGGGCAGGAUUCCAGUUUAGAGGAGAAGGGGAGUCCUCGGCAGCAGCCUGCUCUGUCCUGGAUCGGCCAAGUGGAUUCCUCUGUGGGAGAGAGAGGAGUCCAGUUUCUAUGACGAUCCACAGCUGCUCUGCCAAGACUGCCAGCCGAGGUCCCUGGCGGUGCUAAUUGCUAUGCGGACAUCCGUUCAUUAGACUUUGACCUAGAAUUACCAUCAUCUUUCACAAGAAUUCUAGAGAGGACUACAGAUGUUGAAUGCUUUACUUUGCUUAGCUGGAGAUGGAAAACACUAGGAGGAGGUACGUUCAGGUGUAUCCUACCCAAAGAAGUAAAACCAAUGGCCAAGAAUAAACAUUUAUUGAGCACCUAAUAUAUGCCAGAUACUGAGGACAUAGAUAGUAAUAUAAAAACUGUGGCUGUGAAUUAUUUACAAUAGCCAAGACGUGGAACCAACCUACAUGCCCAGAAACUGAUGAUUGGAUAAAGAAGAUAUGGUAUAUAUACACAAUGGAAUACUACUCAGCCAUAAAAAGGGACAAAAUUGGCCCAUUCACAGCAACGUGGAUGGACCUCGAGGGUAUUAUGUUAAGCGAAAUAAGCCAGUCAGAGAAAGACGAACUCUAUAUGACUCCACUCAUAGGUGGAAUUUAGUAUAUUGACAAGGAGAUCUGAUCGGUGGUUACCAG
rnacentral:lncRNA from 1 species